rnacentral:lncRNA from 1 species
GGUAUGAAAAUUUAAUUUUUAAAAAUAAGCCUUUAUCACCCUUCUGUCUUGGGGAUGGAUAUUAAGUGUAGGUUCUAAGACAGAAGGUAAAGGUUUUUAAGAAACAAAACAAAACGAGGCCUUAAUGUGUCAGGCACUCUGCUAAAUGUUUUACAAAUGUUAUCUCAUCUGAUCUCACUAUUCAUCAAUUCAGUGGAAAGCUAGCCAUGGAAGUUCAGACAGGACAGGGAGAUCUGCCCCCAUCACAAAUCUAAAAUUAAGAGCAGUAAAAUAUUCUACUUUAUCGCCUACUGUCUUGUUUUCUUAGCAUCCCUUCUGGGUCACUACCCCCAGGCACUGAAAGAUUCCAGAGCUCCUCUAGGGAAGUCUGUGCCUCCCCCAACUUGGGGGAGGAGGUACCAGUCACAGAACAGGCUGAACAUACCUGGGAUUGCCAAGAGGUUAUGAAGAGAAGGAAGAUUGCUAAAUUACUGGGGAAAGGGGGACCUACUUGCAAAGUGGAGAUUUUUUUUAAACCCUUAUCUUUAGUCUUAGAUUCAAUACCAUGUAUUGGUUCCAAGGCAAAACAGUGGUAAAAGCUAGGCAAUUGGGGUUAAAUUUCUUGCCCCUGCUAGGAAGUAUCUGAGGUGAGAUUUGAGUUCAGGACCGCUCCUCUCCAGGCCUGGCUGUCUAUUCACUGAGUCACCUUUCCCUUCCUUCCUCCCUCCCUCCUUCCCUCCCUCCCUCCCUCCCUCCCUCCCUCUCUCUCUCUCUCUCUCUCUUUCUCUCUCUCUCUCUCUCUCUCUCCCCCCUUCCUCUCUCUUUCUCUCUGUCUGUCCUCUCUUUCUUUCACUCUUUUUCUCUCCUCUCUUUCUCUCUGUCUCUGUCUCUGUUUCUCUCUCUCUCUCUCUCUCUCUCCCCCAUUAUCAAUUAAUAUGUAACCUUUUCCCAGAAUAUUCCAAUAUCCUUCGUUAACUGCUAAGCCUCAAUGACUAUUUUAUACACUUUCAUUUAUAUUCUAAUUUUGAAUACAUUUAUGAUCACCUAAAUAUGAACAUUUGACUUUUUUUAUCUUGUCGAAAACUUAGAGAAUUCAGCCUUGCUCUGAUUCAGAGAGGGAUUUGCUUCUUUAUGGCAGAAGGACUCCAUGUCUCUCUCUGAAAUACUUUCUCCUUUACAGCUAUAAGUAAUCAAGAAUGUCUUGGAUAAAUCUUCAGAACAGAGUAUAGAGUUAAUUCUUCAAAAAUGUUGUUUAGAGAUCAUUGCUUCCACAAAGAAUUUUGCUACAAAUAUUCUGAACCUUUGAUUUCCUGGGCCGUUCUCCAGUUAUUUCUUGCUGUGCAACAUAAACCAUCUGACUGACAAAAAGUCUAGACCUCUUUGUCUCUCUGUGUCUGUUUUUAUUGUCUAAAACUUUACAAAAUGUUUUCUUAUGAAGAAAAGAUAUCAAAUCAGUAGUUUUACUGAGUCUACCUAAAGGAGUGAAAACUGCUUUUAAAAGGUAAAUCAAAGCUAAUUUUUAAACAGUAGAAAUUACCAAUAUUAAAAAUGUUUUUAUAUAUCAUAUUCAGUUCCAAAUGGUUUAGUUUGAAUUUGAGAGCCCUGUACACAUUCAGAGUGUAUCCCGUCCCAUAAUUACUGGUAUAUUAGUUACAUCCCAGUCCUAUUUUUUCCUUUAAAUAUGCUACCAAUGAUUAGAAAGUAACAUUUUUUUCCCCAACACUAUCCCCAAUAUGCAUAGUCAUAUACCUUAUAUGGACUGAUAGAUGUCUUGCUGUAAAGGAGCUGGUCUCUGGCCCAAAGGUCUUGAUUCUUCCAAUUUUGAUUCAGAUGCUAAAUUCUUUUUUUAAUCUUUGGCAAGUCCUAGCCAGAAUGCACUUCAACUGACAUCUGCAAAAGAAAAGAAAUGACAUUUCAAGUAAAACAAGCCUCGUGAUCCCUUAAAAGGUAU